GUUAAGGUGGCAGAGCCCGGUAAUUGCAAAAGACCUAAGCCCUUUCAACCAGAGGUUCAACUCCUCUUCUUAACU
rnacentral:tRNA from 1 species